GUGAAUGUUCAAUUUGAAUGUUCCUCAUUGCCAUUGACUGUGGACUUCCAUCAGAUUUCAGUUGAAAUAACUAACAAAUUCAAACAGUUAAUUUAUUACUUGAAACUCAUGGCAGAGCAGCAUGGCAAGUCUUUCGGAGGGAGAAAAUGACAAUAGUUUAACCAGGAUUACCAUUGCAGGUCUAUGUUUAAGUGACAAGUUUUCACACCUGCCAUGUACGUUAGUGCAGCCAUCUAUGCAUUCUGUUAAAAGAG